GUCCGAAUGGCUCAGUCGGUAGAGCAUUAGGCUAUUAACCUAAGGGUCCAGGGUUCGAGCCCAAGUUCGGGUG